rnacentral:lncRNA from 1 species
GCUUUUGGCGAGGAAUAAAGAGUAUGCAUGUUUAAUUUCAAAGGCAGAAAGGAAAUGAAGUAUUCAUUUAUUUUUUUUAUCUUUUUAUUUUAUUAGCAAUAUUUUUAUCAUAUAAAUCAGAUUUAAAUUGUCAUAGGAGGAAUAAAAAUAAUUCUGAAAUUUUUUUCUAUAGUACUCCUAUGCACCACCUACACAACAGCUUACUGCCAUAUGUGUUGCUUAUCAGUUGUCCUUGGGGGACACUGAAGGUGAUUGCUAAGCUGGUACACAGGUGCGGGCACCUUCUGGAUUUUGAUGGGAGAACAUGAAUGCAUGUUGUAGGUUUCAUGUUAAAGGGGGAGGUUACUGUUGGAUGGACAACGGGGAUUGAUGGAUAGAGACAGCAUAGCAAGAUAUAGAAUGAUAGAAAGAUAGAUAAAAGGUCAUUUUGUUUCCUUCUCAUUUUUCGGGCGUUGGUGAGAGACACAUGCAUGAAUGCUCAAACCAAUCAGGAAGCCUUGUGACUUCAAGAACGUGUUUGUUUCACUGCCACACACACCCUUCUGUUCUACUCCCUCUGUUCCAAAUAAUAAGAUAUUCCAAGAAUCUUGGAGAGUCAAAGUAUCUUAAUUCUGACCAAAGUUAUAGAUAAAAAUUACAAAAAUUUAUAACAUCAAAUAGGUAAACUAUCAAAAUAUAUUUAAUCAAGAAUCUAAUAAUACAUAGUUGGUAUCAUAAAUAUUAUUAUCUUAUCAUAUAAAUUUGGACAAACUUGAGAUCCUUUUACUCUCAAAGAUUCUUAGAAUGUCUUAUAAUUGGGGACCGAGGGGGUAGUAUAUACUAUUACACUAGCACAAUAAAGCUCUAUACAAGCUAUUCUAUAUUUCUACGGGCAUUUUUUAGACCCGCCAACGUUGGGGGCCAGUGGAAAUGAAAACUUUCCACUGGC